AAAGUCGUAACAAGGUUUCCGUAGGUGAACCUGCGGAAGGAUCAUUGCGAGUACGAGGUUAGGCUUGGUGGGGGAUAUAUGCCCACACUGAGGGUGACUAACUAUUGGUCGUUUCUCUUAAAAUCAGUACAAGACGAUUGUACUGGAAUAGGGGAAACAACACACACGCGUUCUUGUCUGUCAGUCGAGGUAAAUUAAAAAAAACAACUUUUAACAAUGGAUCUCUUGGCUCUU
rnacentral:misc_RNA from 1 species